UACGUAGGGUGCAAGCGUUGUCCGGAAUUAUUGGGCGUAAAGAGCUCGUAGGCGGUCUGUCACGUCGGCUGUGAAAACCCGGGGCUCAACCCCGGGCCUGCAGUCGAUACGGGCAGACUAGAGUGUGGUAGGGGAGACUGGAAUUCCUGGUGUAGCGGUGAAAUGCGCAGAUAUCAGGAGGAACACCGGUGGCGAAGGCGGGUCUCUGGGCUGAUACUGACGCUCAUGCACGAAAGCGUGGGGAGCGAACAGG
rnacentral:rRNA from 1 species